GACAGAGGGUGCAAACGUUGCUCGGAAUUACUGGGCGUAAAGCGCGUGUAGGCGGACCACCAAGUCGGACGUGAAAGCCCUGAAGCUCAACUCAGGAACUGCAUCCGAAACUGGCGGUCUGGAGUAGUGGAGAGGAAAGGCAGAAUUCCUGGUGUAGAGGUGAAAUUCGUAGAUAUCAGGAGGAACACCGGUGGCGAAGGCGGCUUUCUGGACACUUACUGACGCUGAGACGCGAAAGCGUGGGGAGCAAACAGG
rnacentral:rRNA from 1 species